AUGACAAGCACUUUGAAAAGAGGGUGAAAAGAGCCUGAAACCGUUACGGGGGAAGCGGAUUGCGUUGGAUUGGUGGCUGUCUGCAUGUUCAGCCUUUUUUUGGUGUACUCAUGUAUGCAGUUAUCCGUCGUGGCUUUCUUGGAGCUGAUUUUGAGCUUCAGGAGGGUGAGGGAUCCCCUUUAUGGGUUGAGGACGACGGAGUGACGACGCGAUACGACCCGUCUUGAAACACGGACCAAGGAGUCUAGCACUAUUGCGAGUCGAAGGGUUUUUAAACCUGUGGGCGCAGUGAAAGCAAACUCUAAAACGAGCAGUUUGAGGCGGCAUAAAAUCGUUGAUUUUAGGUCUGACCUAGAGCAGUUGUGCUGGGACCCGAAAGAUGGUGAACUAUGCCUGAGUAGGGUAAAGCCAGAAGAAAUUCUGGUGGAGGCUCGUAGCGGUGCUGACGUGCAAAUCGCUCGUCGAACUUGGGUAUAGGGGCGAAAGACUCAUCGAACCAUCUAGUAGCUGGUUCCCUCCGAAGUUUCUCUCAGGAUAGCAGGUCGACAGACGUUGUUUUGUGC
rnacentral:rRNA from 1 species